CCUGAGUCUCCUUCGUAGGUGUGGUCACUAUAUUUCCUACUUGUGCAGAUCCUAACUGGUUGUAACUCCGUUCAUUCUCUUCCUAACAGUAGUUCGUCAGCCACAUUGGACUAAUCUAAUGCAUUCGAAUUGCCUUGGUGUAUGAAAAUAACGAUAUAGGCUUGAUGUGUACAAGCGCAUAGCUCCUUAUCUAGCCUAAUCUGAAUGUAGCUUAUAUUCUUAAUCUUUUUAUGCACACUAUUUUAGCCAGCGGCAGGUGUUGGGCACUUUGAGGUAUGCAAACCUUCUCAGAGCAAGGGGAGCAAGAGUACCGGUACUGCAUUUCUUAUCUUCAUCACUCAAAAUUCCCAGAACUAAUCGUGAGCUCUUGCUUUGAUACAGAACUAAUCUUGAAGGUGAUAGCCCUGUUUCUUCCCUGUUUUAGAUCAACCGUUCUUCUUUCUUCCUUGGAGCUCCACUGUUUUGGAUGAACUGGACUAACCCUAGAAGGGAUGAAGGUCAUCCACGAGGUGUCUCAAGGUGAACCCCGUGGUACCCGACCAAGUGGCUGGAGGGAAUGGUGUAUGCUCACAAGUUUGUACAGACCAAUUUGUUUCACUCGGACAAGAAUCCCACGAACCUUAAUGUGGCCUUUAAGUUUCAGGUCCUUGGGGUUGGAUGCGGCAACUCGCGGCUCGAAGACAAUCUUUUGUGGUGGGGCGUCGCCGCCGCCGGCGGCACCUGCAUAGACCGUAUCGCUGGGAACGAAGAGAUGCUCCCCUGAUUUGGAGCUGUAGAAAGGAAGUGGUUGCAGACACAAAGUGGGGACACACAACUCCCAGUCAUAAUAUUCUUUAUCUUGGCUCGUUGUUUGGGGAUGGACGCAUCAAUCUGAUGGCGCUCUCCUCCAUGCCAAACGGAUCUUUGGUUCGGAGGCGCGCGGCGCCGACGAUGACAACCUUUCUAUCGACGCAAGGGCAGCAGGAGCUCAUGACGCUGUUGAUGCCACCACCAUGCAUGGGGUUGAUGCAAGGUGGGACAAUGCGAUCACUAAUGGGGAGAACAUAAAACUUCAAUUGAGGGCACUGUGAUUCUCUAGCUACAUGUAUCAUGGUCACCAACCACACAUGUAAAAACCAUGUCUCCCUACUGUAAUUUGAUGAUUUAUUUACAUGUGGCACAGAAUAGUUCAGAGUUCACUCCGAGAAAGAAUUGCUUUGCAUGUACAUUUGCUAAAAGACGGAUGUGCUGAACUUUCGACGGUUCCGAUUGGUAUUCAACGUGAGGAAUUUUAUACUUUUGGAGUGGAGCUAUCAAAUAUAUAUUAUGAGUUUCUAAAACAUCUAUUAUAAGGAGUUGAACAGAGCUUCCUCUGCCCCGGCAGAUUCUGAGAAAACUAACCAGCAGAGAACAUGAACAAAUAUAGUGAUGAGAAAGGGUGGAGCUGAGUACACCACACAUGGAUAUGAUGGUCUCCCCUAUGUUCUUUUUGGCAAUCCAGUUAAUCACUGACUCAACUUUGUAUGGGUGAGCUAACAAGCCCGUGUUAUGUCUUCCCUCUUUCUUUGGCGCUUCCGAUGCACAAAUGGUGGCGGUGAAGCAGCAGGCCCGAGAGAGCGUGCAGGGGAGGAAGGAGUUCCUGGUGGAGGUGCUGAUACUGGCGGUGCUCAGCCACCCUAACUUCGUCAGCCUGAUCGGCUUCUGCACGCAGGGGACAAGC